rnacentral:rRNA from 1 species
UUGAACGCUGGCGGCGUGCUUAACACAUGCAAGUCGCGCGUGAAAGGACUUCGGUCCGAGUAAAGCGGCGCACGGGUGAGUAACGCGUGGAUGAUCUACCCAUGAGUUAGGAAUAACGGCUGGAAACGGUCGCUAAUACCAAAUACGCUCCGAUUUCAACUUCGGGGGAAAGGUGGCCUCUGCUUGCAAGCUACUGCUCAUGGAUGAGUCCGCGUCCCAUUAGCUAGUUGGUGGGGUAACGGCCCACCAAGGCGACGAUGGGUAGCCGGUCUGAGAGGAUGACCGGCCACACUGGGACUGGAACACGGCCCAGACUCCUACGGGAGGCAGCAGUGGGGAAUAUUGCGCAAUGGGCGAAAGCCUGACGCAGCGACGCCGCGUGAGGGGAAUGAAGGUCCUCGGAUCGUAAAACCUCUGUCAGGAGGGAAGAACCGCCACGGUGCUAAUCAGCCGUGGUCUGACGGUACCUCCAAAGGAAGCACCGGCUAACUCCGUGCCAGCCGCGGC